UACGUAGGUGGCAAGCGUUAUCCGGAUUUACUGGGUGUAAAGGGCGUGUAGGCGGGCUUGCAAGUCAGAUGUGAAAUUCCAUGGCUCAACCGUGGAACUGCAUUUGAAACUGUAGGUCUUGAGUGCUGGAGAGGCAAUCGGAAUUCCGUGUGUAGCGGUGAAAUGCGUAGAUAUUAGGAGGAACACCAGUGGCGAAGGCGUCUUACUGGACCGAAACUGACGUUGAGGCUCGAAAGCGUGGGGAGCAAACAGG
rnacentral:rRNA from 1 species